rnacentral:rRNA from 1 species
AUGGCUAUGGCGACCACCUCCUUGUUGUUCCAUGCCUUCUCCACCACGCUGUCCGCCCACUUCAUGUCUGUCAGCUGCUCCAGCCCCCCUGCCACGCGCUCUUUCCAGCCGCUGCAUGCCGUGGCCUUCUUCUCCAGCACCGCUUUGGCUUCCACGGCAGCGGCCGCAGCUUUGGCUUUCCCUUCCUCGGUGCCCCGUAUCACUCCCGCUGCCAGAGGACGUGAGGCUACAUUCAUGGACUCAUGUGUGAGGAAAGGUUUAGGGAUGUUUGUGCGGGAGGCUAAAUGGAUCUGGUGGGAAGCUAUAGCUAUGGAGGUGAAGAAAGGAAGAAAGAAUGCUUGCUAUGUAUGGUAA